CCUACGGGUGGCAGCAGUGGGGAAUAUUGCGCAAUGGGCGAAAGCCUGACGCAGCGACGCCGCGUGAGGGAUGAAGGUCUUCGGAUCGUACACCUCUUUUGUCAGGGCGCAAGGUGCAGGUCGGGACCUGCUGUGAGAGUACCUGAAGAAAAAGCAUCGGCUAACUCCGGGCCAGCAGCCGCGGUAAUACGGAGGAUGCGAGCGUUAGCCGGAUUUAGUGGGUUUAAAGGGUGCGCAGGCGGAGGCACAAGUCAGCGGUAAAAUCGCGGGGCUCAACCCCGCUCCGCCGUUGAAACUGUGUCCCUUGAGUGCGCGAAGGGUAGGCGGAAUGCGUGUUGUAGCGGUGAAAUGCAUAGAUAUCACGCAGAACUCCGAUCGCGAAGGCAGCCUACCGGCGCGCAACUGACGCUCAUGCACGAAAGCGUGGGUAUCGAACAGGAUUAGAUACCCGAGUAGUC
rnacentral:rRNA from 1 species